rnacentral:rRNA from 1 species
UAAGCAUAUCAAUAAGCGGAGGAAAAGAAACCAACAGGGAUUGCCUCAGUAACGGCGAGUGAAGCGGCAACAGCUCAAAUUUGAAAUCUGGCUCCUUCGGGGCCCGAGUUGUAAUUUGGAGAAGAUGCUUCGGGGGUGGCCCCGGUCUAAGUUCCUUGGAACAGGACGUCACAGAGGGUGAGAAUCCCGUACGUGACCGGUGGCCUCCUCCAUGUGAAGCUCUUUCGACGAGUCGAGUUGUUUGGGAAUGCAGCUCAAAAUGGGUGGUAAAUUUCAUCUAAAGCUAAAUAUUGGCCAGAGACCGAUAGCGCACAAGUAGAGUGAUCGAAAGAUGAAAAGCACUUUGGAAAGAGAGUUAAACAGUACGUGAAAUUGUUGAAAGGGAAGCGCUUGCAACCAGACUUGCGCGCGGUCGAUCAUCCGGUGUUCGCACCGGUGCACUCGGCCGCGCUCAGGCCAGCAUCGGUUUGGGUGGUUGGAUAAAGGCCUCGGGAACGUGGCUCCCCUCGGGGAGUGUUAUAGCCCGAGGCGCAAUGCAGCCCACCCGGACCGAGGACCGCGCUUCGGCUAGGAUGCUGGCGUAAUGGUUGUAAGCGACCCGUCUUGAAACACGGACCAAGGAGUCUAACAUCUAUGCGAGUGUUUGGGUGUCAAACCCAUACGCGUAAUGAAAGUGAACGGAGGUGAGAACCCUUAAGGGUGCAUCAUCGACCGAUCCUGAUGUCUUCGGAUGGAUUUGAGUAAGAGCAUAGCUGUUGGGACCCGAAAGAUGGUGAACUAUGCCUGAAUAGGGUGAAGCCAGAGGAAACUCUGGUGGAGGCUCGCAGCGGUUCUGACGUGCAAAUCGAUCGUCAAAUUUGGGCAUAGGGGCGAAAGACUAAUCGAACCAUCUAGUAGCUGGUUCCUGCCGAAG